UGAAUCGCGUGUAAAUUUCAUUUUUCACUUUUUCACUGAUCCUCUUUUCUCACUUAUAGAACAUUGUAUUUUUUUGCUCUCUUGCUGGUAACCUAACACAGUCUUCAUUCUCGACUUCAUCUCUCCUUCAUUGGCAUCUCUCAUUCUCAGGUUUUAGUGGUUUCAGCUCAUCAUUCCAAUCGAAAGAGUUGCUUGGUUUGGCUUGAGAAAAGGAAAAAAUGAAGAAGGAAAGUAGGGUUUUGGCGGAGGAUGAGUAGGAGUUUGGGAAUACCAAUUGCUCCAUGAGGCAUCAGGUCACGUGGUGAUGAUUGAGCUCAAGAGUGGCGAACUCUACCAUGGAAGCAUGAUCGAGUGCGAGGACAACUAGAACUGGAGAGCCUCACCUACACUGCCAAGGUUCUGUUUCUCAUCUUCCUCAUACCGUCAAUUCUUUACCCUUUCUAACCUAUUUCUUUUGUAAAUGGAUAUAAUAAGGACAAACUCCAGUUUUCUAUGCAUUUCCAUUUGCUAUAUCAUGUACAGGGGAAGAAAAAGGAUCGAUAAUAGGUGAAAUUAGCAUCACUUAGUGGCUUCACUGAACCUCCAGAAGUUAUAAUUGUAGUUUAAUUUUGGAAGGUAGGGCAGAUUUGGUUAAAUUUGUGAAGGUUGUAGCAGUAGCAGGCCUCUAUGUGCAUCUGCAGAUUGGUCCAUACACAUGUGCUGAAUGGAACUACGAUGGUUCCCCUGUUUGGCUACAUUUUAUUCCGGGAAUUCAGUUCCGAACUGAUAACCAACCAUUCAAGGAUGAAAUGAAAAGAUUGUGGAUAUGAUGAAGAAAGAGAACCUAUAUGCACCACAGGGAGGACCUAUUAUUUUGUCUCAGAACAACUUUUCAUCGUGGCAUCAAGGUAACAAAGUAGUACAAAACAUUCCACCUAGAAAUAAAUAGGUGCUUUGAUUCAAUUACUAAGAUAACUUAACUCUCUUUCACCCUAAUGCAUGCUAUGAAUGUGUGCAGGCUCAAGAUAGGAUGUAUGAGAUGUUGGAUUCUACAAUUUUGCGGAGAAGUGACCAAGACUUUCAACAUGAUUUCUUAGGAUCCUUGGUUAUGAAACACAACAAAGAUAGAGAAGAGGAUGAAAAUAAAUUCACAGAUAAGCAAUUGAAGGAUAAUAUAUUAACUAUGCUGGUUGCAGACCAUGAUACCACAAUUGUUGCUCUUACAUGGCUAAUUAAACUUCUCGCUCAGAAUCUGAUUUUUUUGGAAAGCUUGAGAGUAUUGAAGACCCCAUACAAUCUUCUUCGCUCUGAUUGUUAUAUCUAGUUAUAAACAAAUAUACAUUUUUUUUUAUAA